UACAGAGGUGGCAAGCGUUGUUCGGAAUUACUGGGCGUAAAGGGCGCGUAGGCGGCCUUCUAAGUCAGACGUGAAAUCCCCCGGCUUAACCUGGGAACUGCGUCUGAUACUGGGAGGCUUGAGUAUGGGAGAGGGAUGUAGAAUUCCAGGUGUAGCGGUGAAAUGCGUAGAUAUCUGGAGGAACACCGGUGGCGAAGGCGGCGUCCUGGACCAACACUGACACUGAGGAGCGAAAGCCAGGGGAGCAAACGGG
rnacentral:rRNA from 1 species